AGUGAACGCUGGCGGUAGGCCUAACACAUGCAAGUCGAACGGCAGCACAGUAAGAGCUUGCUCUUACGGGUGGCGAGUGGCGGACGGGUGAGGAAUACAUCGGAAUCUACUUUUUCGUGGGGGAUAACGUAGGGAAACUUACGCUAAUACCGCAUACGACCUACGGGUGAAAGCAGGGGAUCUUCGGACCUUGCGCGAUUGAAUGAGCCGAUGUCGGAUUAGCUAGUUGGCGGGGUAAAGGCCUACCAAGGCGACGAUCCGUAGCUGGUCUGAGAGGAUGAUCGGCCACACUGGAACUGAAACACGGUCCAGACUCCUACGGGAGGGAGCAGUGGGGAAUAUUGGACAGUGGGCGCAAGCCUGAUCCAGCCAUACCGCGUGGGUGAAGAAGGCCUUCGGGUUGUAAAGCCCUUUUGUUGGGAAAGAAAAGCAGCAGGUUAAUACCCCGCUGUUCUGACGGUACCCAAAGAAUAAGCACCGGCUAACUUCGUG
rnacentral:rRNA from 1 species